rnacentral:rRNA from 1 species
UACGUAGGUGGCAAGCGUUGUCCGGAUUUAUUGGGUUUAAAGGGUGCGUAGGCGGUUCCAUAAGCCAGUGGUGAAAUACGGCAGCUCAACUGUCGAGGUGCCAUUGAUACUGCGGAACUUGAGUACUGAUGAGGUAGGCGGAAUUGACGGUGUAGCGGUGAAAUGCUUAGAUAUCGUCAAGAACACCGAUAGCGAAGGCAGCUUACCAAGCAGUAACUGACGCUGAGGCACGAAAGUGCGGGGAUCAAACAGG